rnacentral:misc_RNA from 1 species
GGAAGUAAAAAUCGUAACAAGGUUUCUGUAGGUGAACCUGCAGAAGGAUCAUUAGUGAAGUUAAGGCUGGACUCUUUCCAGCCUUCACCUUUUUUCCAACCCUGUGCACUGUAAUCUAAUCAACGCAGUUGAAGUAAUGGGAUGUCAAUAUAUUAAACAGUUAAAACUUUCGGCAACGGAUCUCUAGGCUCUC